rnacentral:piRNA from 1 species
AACUUGACUACAUCUGGAAUUAACUAAAACCC